AGGCAUGUCCUUGUGAGUUGAGAUAGAUAUGUAAUACUUUCAGUAUUAUCUCAGCUGUUGAAUGAACCCAUUAGGCCUCGAAGUUGUGAUAAUUGCGUGCAAUAGACUAUCGUAAAAUACGGUCAGGUAAGAUGUAAAUAUAAAUAUUAUCCACACAUAUUUUACUGAGUACGUGUUUUAAAUGUGUUUGAUGAUGCUGUUCAGCCCUGCGCUAGGUUUAGAACACCUAGAGCGAUCAUCUGCAACAAGUAGAAACAUUGUAUAUUUACAAUGUUGAAAAACAGGCGCCUGACUAGGCUUGCAACAAUACAUGUACCAACAAUUAUGAUGCCACAAAAUCCACCGCCCCAAAAAUAUUAUUUGGACAUCAACCAAAUGAUAUAAUUGUGUGCCUUGCAUACAUUUCUCUAUCUGGGAUAAUUAUACGCUGCUAAACCACCGAUAUUUUUUUUCACCAAGGAGUGACUGUAAGUGAAUUUAAUUACACAUAGUAACAUUAUCAAAGCAUUUUCAGUGUUAGAACUACUAAGCAUCCGGGGUGACAAUGGCUUGAGACAAUUCCCAAUCUACAAGCUGCGAAAUUGGUGCUUCACGCUGCAUUACAACACGGGCCUAAACGUAAACACAGCAACUCACAAGCUCUGUCUGGCUAUAGUAGCCUAGCCACCUAUUAAAACGUUAGCUUGAUAAAUAGUCUAACGCCCUCGCUUGCACGAUAAUGCAACACUAACCCCAUCCGCUAUAUCCGUGAUAAAGCUAGCGUUCCCCUUUUAAUUCACAACACAAAGACAGCUAAUGCGUCUGAAGCGAACGGCUCGAAUCAAGUCUGAAAACACUUACCGAUGUGAUUGUCCUCGAUGUGGACGAUCAGCUCGGCCAGGGACUCAAACUGGAGACCGCAACCCCCGAACCUGCAGGAGUUGGAGAAGAAAGACGCGGCGGCUAUGCCUGUCAUGGUUGCUGACUAGUGCAUUCACUGGGCGUUCGGUGGCCGGGGCGGUGCGAGACAGGCUUCGGGUCCGGGGAAGUAGCGGGACAGAGCGGGGAGCAGCGUAGCAGACACCGGGUGACCAGGCAGGACAGUCUCUGCAGCGGCGGACGCAUCUGGGAGAGCAGGCGGGACUGUGGGGGUGGGGGUAGAGGAAGAGGGGGGGACGGGGGACGUCAUGUUUACCUGCUACUUGGUAAAUACAGACUACCCCUGGACAGACUGUUAAAAUUAUUCUACGAAAAUGCAUUUACAAGGUUUACCCAAUAUAGAACUGUAUGCAGUAACGUAUGACUGCACACUAGCGUAUUUUCGAUCCGCUGUAGUCUACAACGUUAUUAUUGUUGUUGGCCUUCGAGUGUAUGCCGCUAUUCUCAAAUAAAUGGAUGUUAGGCUAGUUACACAACUAAACCUACAUAAAAAUCUGAAUGACCUUCAAUACACAGAGUUUAUUUGAUGUAUUAUGCUGCUUGUGAUAGACAAUAUUUGACAGAAUACAAGAAAUCGACACAUUUGACAUUAAAUGAUGUACAAUGGGUAGUGAACUUAUAAGCUAAUGGGAUAUGAUCAGGGAGUAAAUGCUAUACAUGGAUUUACAGUUUAUUUGUAGUAUAUCUGGAUGUAGUGAGAUAUGAGCAGGGUUUUGAGUGCAGUUAUAUGCAGCUGUUUAGGCAAUAGUUCACAUGUGGCUUAAUGUGCUGAGCAUAGUCUUAUUAGUCUCCACGGGACAGAUGGCCAGUAAACAGCACAGCACUGGGAAAGAAAUACUUCUGGUGGAAGGAUUAUUUGGUCAUGAUUGAAACCUUGGUUAUGUUGGGCUUUGAUUGCAGGCAGGGGGCAGUCGAUUAUUGUUUGGGGCAUAUGUUUUUGGGGGCAAAUACGCUUGAUAGAAUUGGGGUUACGUAAGUAGGCUGUAAGAUGUGCAAUCGGAGAAUACAAAACCCUGGAAACUUUCCUGCUUCCUGUCUACAAGCAAAAACUAAAAUAGGAAGUACUGUGAUGCACACUAUAAGGAAAAGGUCUAUGUCAAACUCUGGAUAAUGAAAAGGGCCUAUAAGUAACAAACGUUAAUAAACAUACUUUUUUGAA